CGAAGCGGCUCAUUAUCUGCCACCCUCUUUCGUGCUCGUUCUGUUCUUUGAUGCCACAACAACCACCACCUCAUCGUUAUCCAUUACAUUUUAAUAAAAUAAGUUAACACGCAGCUCAUAAGCCCUCGGCUACACAGGUGUUAGCGGUGGGUGCUUGUGUGUGUGUCAAACAGAUGAGAGUUUCCGGGGGUUGUAGCUAAUUAGCUAGCUCCACUUAGCUUAACUUCGGUCGCCAUAACCUUCGUUAUUUUAACAUAUUACUCAAUGUCAAUAUGACAGAAGUUUACCGAAGCAGUUGAUGAUGCCAAAACAACGAAAUUCGCGUCCAGUCAAACCAGUAAUAUGUGUCUACUUUACAAUGAGGGAGCGGGGAUUUCAACUCCGCCAUCUUGAAAACAUGGCGGUUGAGGCUAUGUCCACAUCGUUUGGACGCUUAUUCGGAGUCAGGGCCUUCAUCUUGCUGCUCCUCAUCAUCCUGAGCGAAGAUGACAUUAGGAGUUUCCAUCAACGGCUGGGACAACGUGAGACUGUCGGAAACUUCCAGGAGACGAUUGAAGAGGACAGAUUGUUGAAGAUGAAUCAGCUUUGUUCUCUUGACGGGAGAUUGAAGCAGAAAGUCCCCCUUUGCUGGACCUGACCAGGAUCUGAUGAGGUUCCCUGAGUGGCAUCAUGAAGUCAACUAGAAACAAGAUGGCGUCAUGAUGAUGAUAGCUCCACUCAGAUGCUGAGGACUCCUCUUCUGCUGGGUCCUACUUUUGUCCCUUGAGGAAGACGACUAUGGAGACUCUUGUACAGGACACAGGAGAAGAUGACGAGUUCACUGAGGAGAUGAAAGAUGGCAGUGAUGGGUCUUCCUUGUACCAUCUGCAGACUCAGGUCUGAGUACUGCCCUCUUCUGGUGUUCAUCAG